CUACGGGGUGCAGCAGUGAGGAAUCUUCCGCAAUGGGCGAAAGCCUGACGGAGCGACACCGCGUGAAGGAUGAAGGCCUUUUGGUUGUAAACUUCUUUUCUGAGGGAAUAAAUGAUGAAGGUACCUCAGGAAUAAGCACCGGCUAACUACGUGCCAGCAGCCGCGGUAAUACGUAGGGUGCAAGCGUUAUCCGGAAUUAUUGGGCGUAAAGCGUUCGUAGGCGGUUUAGAAAGUUUGUAGUUAAAUCCGGUCGCUCAACGAUCGAAUCGUUACAAAAACUUCUAAACUAGAGAGUGAUAGAGGCAACUGGAAUUCCACAUGUAGGGGUAAAAUCCGUUGAUAUGUGGAGGAACACCAAAAGCGAAGGCAGGUUGCUGGGUCAUUUCUGACGCUGAGGAACGAAAGCGUGGGGAGCAAACAGGAUUAGAUACCCUAGUAGUC
rnacentral:rRNA from 1 species